GCGGGUGUGGCGGAACUGGCAGACGCACUAGACUUAGGAUCUAGCGUUUUCGGACGUGCAGGUUCAAUUCCUGUCACCCGCACCA
rnacentral:tRNA from 1 species